rnacentral:rRNA from 1 species
UGGCGGCUGUAGCGCGGUGGUCCCACCUGACCCCAUGCCGAACUCAGAAGUGAAACGCCGUAGCGCCGAUGAUAGUGUGGGGUCUCCCCAUGCGAGAGUAGGGAACUGCCAGACA